rnacentral:lncRNA from 1 species
UUGCUCUUCACAAAUGGUUAGGGUCUAAAAUUCUCAGAUCUUCUGUAUGUGACAAAGCGUAGUAUGAAUGCUGCUGUUUCAAAAUUGCAUAAACGUCUGGAGAGCGUGACAGAGGCUAUUGUUGUAAGUUUCUUUUCGGCUGUCUAUGCCAAAAAAAAAAAAAAAAAUUCCUGUUUUGUUUAAGUUUCUGUUAAUGGGACCAUGUUUGUUCCCAACAUCGAAUAGAUUUACAGCACUCAUCAAUAUUACUUAUAGAAUUUGUAUAAACAAUUGAAAUCACAGUAUUAAACAUUCUUAUGCUGGACAGAACACAA